rnacentral:lncRNA from 1 species
GACACUCCCAGGGCAUUAUCAUCCGCCUCCAACAAUUUCCUCAUUUAACAUAAUUCACUUUAUGUCUCAAAAUCAGCAUGGCACAUAAUGUAAUGGCAACCAAGAUCACUUUCAUCAUUUUAAUUCUUAUAUGCAUUUCCAAUCAUCAUCAUACAUGCAGCAAGAUACAAUCACUAAUGACAAUACUAUCCAUGGGAUCCAUACAACUUAGAAUAGUCCAUAUAUCAUGCCCUUUUUGAAAUUUACUAAAUUCCAGCUUGCACAAUUUUGGAAAACAUAUAAAUUAAAUAUCCAUAUGAUCCUCAAAAAUCACACAAUUAGAGCAUGUAACAGACAAGAUAUAAAGGUAACAAUUUCAUGAAGAACACUUGCCCAAAAGAGCUUCAUACAAAAAGAUAUAGCUCACACAUUGCAACAUGCAGAAUUCGGACAAAGUCAGAUUGCACAGUUUUUG